rnacentral:tRNA from 1 species
ACCUAAGUAUUUUAAUUAUAGAAUAUUGGCUUGUGGUGCCUUUGGUGUAGUUUUGUAUUGCCUUGGGUU